ensembl:lncRNA
GAGGGAGGGGAGGAGUGGCCUGCAUAAGUUUUUUUUUAUUGGCCUUUUACAAGUACCAUGUUGUGCAGGCCUGACAUAAGGUGAAAUCUGGCAGUUGAAGAUCCUGCCAGAAAUCCAUUGAAUAGUGUGUACUAGGUGAGAAAUGGGACAUGUUCCUCUGUUUAAGAAAGAGACGUGCCUAGGUGAUUAUAGUGUAGUCCAUAGUACGAAAAGGUAGUCUGGGGUCAUACAGAAAAAGUCAUUGAAAAAAAUCUGGUUAAGACAUCCAGUGGUUUAAACUUCUACUCUUCAUUAAGUCUAGUCGUGUCCGACUCUGGGGGUUGGUGCUCAUCUCCAUAUCUAAGCCGAAGAGCUGGCGUUGUCCGUAGACACCUCCAAGGUCAUUUGGCUAGCAUGACUUCAUGGAGUGCCGUUACCUUCCUGCCGAAGCGGUAUCUAUUAAUCUAUUCACAUUUGCAUGUUUUCGAACUGCUAGGUUGGCAGAAGCUGGGGCUAACAGCGGGAGAUCACUCUGCUCCCCGGAUUCAAACCACCAACCUUUUGGUCAGCAAGUUCAGCAGCUCAGCAGUUUAAUCCACUGCACCACCGGGGGCUCCCAUUCAUGUGAAGAUGUGUUACUUAAAGGACUGAUAUGAUAACUGGAUGGAUCAAUAUUUCUUCUGCUUCUAAUAACAGAAGAAAUAAAUUAAAAUCAGCUGCCAAUAAAGGUGUCAUCAAUGUGCUCAUUUCUUUAGAUGGAAACAAAGAUAUAGGAGCUAUCUUAACUUUCCCUCCUCUAGUCCUACAUAUUCUGAUGGCAGUCCUUCAAAAAUGCUCUGUAAAGGAAGCAAUCCAGAGGCUCUAUGUUCUGAACGUUUGUCCUCAAGAAAAUAUAGAAAGAGAGAUGGAGCAGCCUGCUUUCCUGGUUCACAUCCAGAAGCGAAUCAUUCCUCUGACAGUACCAAAAGGGCACAGCUUCGAGACUAACUUUUUUUUUCUAAAGCACAGUAUUGGUCAAGGUUGCUAGGAGAAAUAAAUGGUAGGGUGUGGUUUUUACAGGCAGAAACAGGAAGAAAGUGGGAUAACUGUUUUCUUUAUAUUACAUUUUUAAAAGAAACUAAGUUUUCAAGUAGUCAUAGUUUCCUUUAAUCCAUAGUCCUUGGUGAGCAAGAGGAGAAAAUCCAGCUCAUUCACGGCUUAUUAAAUUCAGAAUUGUUCCAUUAUCCAGGUGGAGGUCACUAGGGGAUGCUAGAGAGAGAAGGAUACUCCAUUAGAUGGGGGGUGGAGGAUGGGCUGAAGGAGUAAAACCAUUUCCCCCUGUUUUCCUAUUAUUCCCCCCACCCAUGUUCCUGUCAGGGUUGUUGUAUGUUUUCCGGGCUGUAUGGCCAUGUUCUAGAAGUAUUCUCUCCUGACGUUUUGCCCACAUCUAUGGCAGGCAUCCUCAGAGGUUGUGAGGUAUGGAGAAACUAAGCAAGGAAGGUUUAUAUAUAUCUGUGGAAAGUCCAGGGUGAGAGAAGAACUCUUUGUCAGUUGGAGGCCAGUGUGAAUGUUGUAGUUAAUCACCUUAAUUAGCAUUGAAUAGCAUCAUCUCCUGGCUUCUUCCUGCCUGGAGGCAUCCUUUGUUCAGAGUCGUUAGCUGCCCCUGGUUCCCAUGUCUGGAACUCCUCUGUUUUCAGAGUGUUGCUUCUUAUUUACUGUUCUGAUUUUUGAGUUUUUUAAUACUGGUAGCCAAAUUUUGUUCAUUUUCAUGGUUUCCUCCUUUCUGUUGAAGUUUCCCACAUGCUUGUGAAUUUCAGUGGCUUCUCUGUGUAGUCUGGCAUGAUCGUUGUUGGAGUGGUCAAGCAUUUCUGUGUUCUCAAACAAUAUACUGUGUCCAGGUUGGUUCAACAAGUGCUCUGCUAUGGCUGAUUUCUCUGGUUGAGUGAGUCUGCAGUGCCUUUCAUGUUCUUUGACUCGUGUUUGGGCACUGCGUUUGGUGGUCCCUAUGUAGACUUGUCCACAGCUGCAUGGUAUAUGGUAGACUCCUACAGAGGUGAGAGGAUCCCUCUUGUCCUUCGCUGACCAUAGCAUUUUUUGGAUUUUCUUUGUGAGUCUGUAGAUAGUUUGUAGGUUGUGCUUCUUCAUCAGUUUGCCUAUGCGGUCAGUGGUUCCCUUGAUGUAUGGUAAGAACACCUUUCCUCUGGGUGGAUCUUUGUCUUGACUCUCAUGGCUUGUUCUUGGCCUUGCAGCUCUUCUGAUGUCUUUGGUGGAGUAUCCAUUCGCCUGUAGAGCACAGUUUAGGUGGUUUAGUUCAUCUUGGAGGAGAUGAGGUUCGCAGGAGAUAAUACUUCUAGAACAUGGCCAUACAGCCCGGAAAACAUACAACAACCCUGUGAUCCUGGCCAUGAAAGCCUUCGACAACACAUGUUCCUGUCGUUGAAACAGUCCUGAUUUAUGAUAUUGGAAGGGGUGAGGGGGAAUAACCGGUGAAAACGAGGAAAUGGUUUUCAGCUAUCAGCUCCCUCCUUCCUUAAAAUGAAGUAUCCUUCUCUCUCUCUAGCACCCGCUAGUGACCUCCCCCUAGUGGUCUCCAAUCUGAUAAUGGAAGAGUACUGUAAAUUCAAAUGCUAUGUAGUAAAUUUGAUGUCUUGAAGAACAGCCCUUCUAACAAAAAAACAUACUGUCCUAGUACUUUAACAUAACAGAAUUUAGAAUUUUUACAUAUAAUGGACUCACAGUAUAUGUGCAUAGUUUGUAUAUACACAGUAGAGUUGUCAAACCUGAAGAUCUAGCUCCAAAUCUCCAGGUUUCAUGGGUCAUCACCAAAUUUGAGAUGAAGAUGCAAUUCUCCAGUUUUGUAGGAAAGAGCUAUGUGAAAAUCUCCAGAUCAGCUAGUAUAAUAGCAGCUUGCUACAAUUUCCAAGGCUUAAUUCAUUUUUGCUGCAACUUCAAAAGAUUCUCCAAGGGUAUGUGCAUUUACUUAGUUAGCUUCCUCCUUCCCUUCCAGGUCUUGUGGUAACAGGUCUCAGCCUCUAUUCUGAUCUGGAACUACUUUCUGGCUAGGAACAUAAGUGUGUGUGUGUGCAGGCUUAGGUUAAAUGGUAUACAUCCUAUCUCCCUAAAAACAUAUGAAGAAGAAAGAAAUCCUUUCAUUUCAUCUCAUCCUGGGAUGAUCAGAUGAGAUUUUGCUUUUAAUUUCCAAAUGGAAAUAUUCUCUUUGUAUAUGAAUUACCAGCUGAGAGCAGUUGUGCUUGAUACUUAAUGCAUAACAUUCUAUGACAUCAGUAAGCUUUCUGUGGGGAGAGAGAUAUUUCUUGAAGUAUUAGUUCAUACAAAAAUCCCUGUAGAAAUAGAGAUGGCUAAGGAUUUCACUUGGUUUGCAUUUUUAACAAUUGACCAAAAUUCACAUUUUAUCUCAGAAAUGAGACGUGUGUGUGUGUGUAACCACGAGAUAAGGUAAAACUGGCAGAACAAUUCAUAUCUAGGAUUGGGGUUUUUUUUUUCUUGGUCUGUAUCUACUCCAGACAAAAUACUCUGGAGUAGUCUGCUCCAGAGCUGUCCAAGAUACAGCAUGAGUAUGGUGCAGAAGCACACGGAAGCCCUUUUGCAGUCCACAUGGU